AACGAACGCUGGCGGCAGGCUUAACACAUGCAAGUCGAACGGGUGUAGCAAUACAUCAGUGGCAGACGGGUGAGUAACACGUGGGAACCUUCCUCGAUGCACGGAACAACUCAGGGAAACUUGAGCUAAUACCGUAUACGUCCGAGAGGAGAAAGAUUUAUCGCAUUGAGACGGGCCCGCGUCGGAUUAGCUAGUUGGUAAGGUAACGGCUUACCAAGGCGACGAUCCGUAGCUGAUCUGAGAGGAUGAUCAGCCACACUGGGACCGAGACACGGCACAGACUCAUACGAGAGGCAGCAGUGGGGAAUCUUGGACAAUGUGGGCAAGCCUGAUCCAGCCAUGCCGCGUGAGUGAAGAAGGCCUUCGGGUUGUAAAGCUCUUUUGUCAGGGACGAUAAUGACGGUACCUGAAGAAUAAGCCCCGGCAAACUUCGUGCCAGCCGCCGCAGUAA
rnacentral:rRNA from 1 species